GCGUCGCGCGACUUGCGUGCGGCGUGCCUCCGAGGACCGAUGCGGCGAUGCCUGUGCUGUGCGGCCGUGCGGGUGAGGAGGCUGGGAAGGGGAUAGGGCAGUGGAGUGAAUGCUAGGGUUCAAGGAGGAUUCAGCAAUAUAUAUGACUUGGAUUUGGGCCAAAUUUAUGGGCUCUAUGGGCUAGAAUGACUUGGGCUGGCUACUUAUUUAUGCGGGUGUUUUUUACCCGCGGGUAGGCGGGUAUGGGUAGUAUACAUCAACACCCGCACCCGCUUACCCGAUGGGUACAAGAUUUUACCCAUUAACAUACCCACGGGUAGAAAAAUCCUUCCGUACCCGCCUCUUUAACGGGUAAAACCCG
rnacentral:lncRNA from 1 species